rnacentral:rRNA from 1 species
UACGUAGGGGCCUAGCGUUGUCCGGAAUUAUUGGGCCUAAAGCAUCCGUAGCCGGUUCUACAAGUCUUCCGUUAAAUCCAGCUGCUUAACAGAUGGGCUGCGGAAGAUACUAUGGAGCUAGGAGGCGGGAGAGGCAAGCGGUACUCGAUGGGUAGGGGUAAAAUCCGUUGAUCCAUUGAAGACCACCAGUGGCGAAGGCGGCUUGCCAGAACGCGCUCGACGGUGAGGGAUGAAAGAUGGGGGAGCAAACCGG